GAUGAACGCUGGCGGCGUGCCUAAUACAUGCAAGUCGAGCGAACAGAUGAGGAGCUUGCUCCUCUGACGUUAGCGGCGGACGGGUGAGUAACACGUGGAUAACCUACCUAUAAGACUGGGAUAACUUCGGGAAACCGGAGCUAAUACCGGAUAAUAUAUUGAACCGCAUGGUUCAAUAGUGAAAUACGGUUUUUCUGUCACUUAUAGAUGGAUCCGCGCCGCAUUAGCUAGUUGGUAAGGUAACGGCUUACCAAGGCAACGAUGCGUAGCCGACCUGAGAGGGUGGUCGGCCACACUGGAACUGAGACACGGUCCAGACUCCUACGGGAGGCAGCAGUAGGGAAUCUUCCGCAAUGGGCGAAAGCUUGACGGAGCAACGCCGCGUGAGUGAUGAAGGUCUUCGGAUCGUAAAACUCUGUUAUUAGGGAAGAACAAAUGUGUAAGUAACUAUGCACGUCUUGACGGUACCUAAUCAGAAAGCCACGGCUAACUACGUG
rnacentral:rRNA from 1 species